rnacentral:rRNA from 1 species
AUUGAACGCUGGCGGCAGGCCUAACACAUGCAAGUCGAGCGAGUGGCGGACGGGUGAGUAAUGUCUGGGAAACUGCCUGAUGGAGGGGGAUAACUACUGGAAACGGUAGCUAAUACCGCAUACCAUCAGAUGUACCCAGAUGGGAUUAGCUAGGUGGUGGGGUAACGGCUCACCAAGGCGACGAUCCCUAGCUGGUCUGAGAGGAUGAUCAGCCACACUGGGACUGAGACACGGCCCAGACUCCUACGGGAGGCAGCAGUGGGGAAUAUUGCACAAUGGGCGCAAGCCUGAUACAGCCAUGCCGCGUGUAUGAAGAAGGCCUUCGGGUUGUAAAGUACUUUCAGUCGGGAGGCGUUACCCGCAGAAGAAGCACCGGCUAACUCCGUGCCAGCAGCCGCGGUAAUAC